CAGUCAGCCUGCGCAUCGCCUAGUUUUAAUGGAAUUAAUAGCGAUGCAUUUCUAGAGGCGGAAAAAGGAGAAGGACUGACCCCGAGCACAGUCUUGCGGCUGUAAGCCUUUCUGGUACAUUCUCCAGCCCCUUCAGUUUUCCUGGACCUGAGCCUCAGCCCAGUAAUCCCCUGCAAGGCUCUCACCCACGGCCAAUUGCUGCGCUCUCACACCACACCCUUCAGCGAGGGCUCCGGCCGGGACCUAGACCAAGUUCAGCUGGUAAUUGCACUACAAAUUGCUCAAUUGCCUUCAACCUUUCUCUUCGGUAUCUCUUUGUCAAGCUGCGCUGCCAUACGGGUCAGAUCACAGAACAUCCAUUCACCUCCAGCAAUCAAUAUGGUGCGAUCCCCGUGCGUGAAGUCUCAUCCUGUCUAUUGUAAUUUUGCUGUCUCCUACCCUUCCCGCCUGUGUGGUUUGCCUCUCCUUCAGUGAGAGGGGCUCUGCUAUUUCCCUCGGCUUCCCCUGCCUCUUCGGCAUUUGGUGGCGCUGGUUAGAGAGAGAUCUUUUCCCAAGAAUUUCCUGGAAAAGUAUCAGAUGGGUCUAUAGUCUUCUGCAUCUGAACAAGCACCCAUCCAGGAUGUACCUGGUUCCCUAGUCUUUCAAAUACCUCUACUUUUUUUUUUUUAUGUUUAUUUUAUUUUUUUAUUAAAAAAAUAUUUUU